rnacentral:misc_RNA from 1 species
CUGAACUGUCAACAUGAGUUGUUGCUGGUCCCCAAAUGGGGGCAUGUGCACACUCUGUUUACACAUCCACUCACACCUGUGCACCUUCUGUAGUCUCACAGCCUGGGGACCCUGUCCCCCUUCUGUGGUUCUAUGUCUUUACACACACACUCCAAUAAAGUUUUGUGGAAUGUAUACCGCGUUUAACGCAAUACAAUA